rnacentral:rRNA from 1 species
AGUGAACGCUGGCGGUAGGCCUAACACAUGCAAGUCGAACGGCAGCACAGUAAGAGCUUGCUCUUACGGGUGGCGAGUGGCGGACGGGUGAGGAAUACAUCGGAAUCUACUUUUUCGUGGGGGAUAACGUAGGGAAACUUACGCUAAUACCGCAUACGACCUACGGGUGAAAGCAGGGGAUCUUCGGACCUUGCGCGAUUGAAUGAGCCGAUGUCGGAUUAGCUAGUUGGCGGGGUAAAGGCCCACCAAGGCGACGAUCCGUAGCUGGUCUGAGAGGAUGAUCAGCCACACUGGAACUGAGACACGGUCCAGACUCCUACGGGAGGCAGCAGUGGGGAAUAUUGGACAGUGGGCGCAAGCCUGAGCCAGCCAUACCGCGUGGGUGAAGAAGGCCUUCGGGUUGUAAAGCCCUUUUGUUGGGAAAGAAAAGCAGCAGGUUAAUACCCCGCUGUUCUGACGGUACCCAAAGAAUAAGCACCGGCUAACUUCGU